rnacentral:misc_RNA from 1 species
AACGCACGAGACCUGCGGACCUGCGGAAGGAUCAUUACCGAGUUUACAACUCCCAAACCCCAAUGUGAACAUUACCUUUACUGUUGCUUCGGCGGGAUCGCCCCGGGCGCGGCCGAGAGGCCCAGCCCCGGAUCCAACGUGCGCCCGCCGGAGGACCCCCAGACUCCAUGUUUCUUGCAAGGUAUUUCUGAGCUGCUCCUAGCGAGCAAAACAAAAAAUGAAUCAAAACUUUCAGCAACG